rnacentral:rRNA from 1 species
GUCUUUUUGAGUUUAAUUUAAAGUCUGAUCUGCCCACUGAUAAGUAUUUAAGGGCCGCAGUAUUCUGACUGUGCAAAGGUAGCAUAAUCAUUAGUCUUUUAAUUGAGGGCUUGUAUGAAUGAUUGGACGAGAUAUAAGCUGUCUCAUAAAAAUUUAAGUAGAAUUUUAUUUUUUAGUCAAAAAGCUAAAAUAAAUUUAAAAGACGAGAAGACCCUAUAGAUCUUUAUAAUUUAUUUUUAAAUUUUUUUUGGUUAUUUUUUAAAUUUAUAAAUUAAAUUAUUUUGUUGGGGUGACAAUGAAAUUUAAUGAACUUUCAUUAUUUUAAAAACAUUAAUUUAUGAAUAAUUGAUCCACUAUUAGUGAUUAAAAAUUUAAGUUACCUUAGGGAUAACAGCGUAAUUAUUUUGGAGAGUUCUUAUCGAUAAAAUAGUUUGCGACCUCGAUGUUGGAUUAAGAUUAAUUCUGGGUGUAGCAGUUCAGUUUAUUAAGUCUGUUCGACUUUUAAUUUCUU